rnacentral:misc_RNA from 1 species
UUCAACAAUACCAUUCUAGAUGAGCUGCAGCAGAAAGUAACAUGACAUAAAACGACUAAUCAGGUCAUAACCAAAGGCAUAAAAUGCGAAUCGAGAAUGAAGCAUAUUCCACAAGAUAAUCAACAAAAUGAGUACAAAAUGAAAAGUCUUUUGAACAAUAUACCCAAUGUCAUAGAAUGUGACUCAUUUUUCUCUUCAUUAAACAGGGGAAAGUAUUUGCAAUGUGG